rnacentral:rRNA from 1 species
AACGAACGCCGGCGGCAUGCCUAACACAUGCAAGUCGAACGAGACCUUCGGGUCUAGUGGCGCACGGGUGCGUAACGCGUGGGAACCUGCCCUUAGGUUCGGAAUAACUCCCCGAAAGGGGUGCUAAUACCGGAUAAUGUCUUCGGACCAAAGAUUUAUCGCCUUUGGAUGGGCCCGCGUUGGAUUAGCUAGUUGGUAGGGUAAAAGCCUACCAAGGCGACGAUCCAUAGCUGGUCUGAGAGGAUGAUCAGCCACACUGGGACUGAGACACGGCCCAGACUCCUACGGGAAGCAGCAGUGGGGAAUAUUGGACAAUGGGCGAAAGCCUGAUCCAGCAAUGCCGCGUGAGUGAUGAAGGCCUUAGGGUUGUAAAGCUCUUUUACCCGGGAUGAUAAUGACAGUACCGGGAGAAUAAGCUCCGGCUAACUCCGUG